rnacentral:rRNA from 1 species
CCUACGGGAGGCAGCAGUGGGGAAUAUUGCACAAUGGGCGCAAGCCUGAUGCAGCCAUGCCGCGUGUAUGAAGAAGGCCUUCGGGUUGUAAAGUACUUUCAGCGGGGAGGAAGGUGUUGCGGUUAAUAACCGCAGCAAUUGACGUUACCCGCAGAAGAAGCACCGGCUAACUCCGUGCCAGCAGCCGCGGUAAU